GAUGAACGCUGACAGAAUGCUUAACACAUGCAAGUCAACUUGAAUCUGGGUUUUUAACUUCGGUUUGGGUGGCGGACGGGUGAGUAACGCGUAAAGAACUUGCCUCACAGCUAGGGACAACAUUUGGAAACGAAUGCUAAUACCUAAUAUUACGAUAAUAGUGCAUCCUAUAAUUAUGAAAGCUAUAAGCGCUGUGAGAGAGCUUUGCGUCCCACUAGCUAGUUGGAGAGGUAACGGCUCACCAAGGCGAUGAUGGGUAGCCGGCCUGAGAGGGUGAUCGGCCACAAGGGGACUGGGACACGGCCCUUAGGGCUACGUGAGGCAGGAGUGGGGAAUAGUGGACGAUGGACCGCGAGGGUGAUCCAGGAAUUCUGUGUGCAAGAUGAAGUUUUUCGGAAUGUAAAGUGCUUUCAGUUGGGACGGAACAUAUGACGGUACCAACAGAAGAAGUGACGGCUAAAUACGUG
rnacentral:rRNA from 1 species